AGCAAACGCUGGCGGCAGGCCUAACACAUGCAAGUCGAACGAGCCUUCGGGCUAGUGGCGGACGGGUGAGUAACACGUGGGAACGUACCUUUAGGUUCGGAAUAACUCAGGGAAACUUGAGCCAAUACCGGAUGUGCCCUUCGGGGGAAAGAUUUAUCGCCUUUAGAGCGGCCCGCGUUAGAUUAGCUAGUUGGUGGGGUAAUGGCCCACCAAGGCUACGAUCUAUAGCUGGUCUGAGAGGAUGAUCAGCCACACUGGGACUGAGACACGGCCCAGACUCCUACGGGAGGCAGCAGUGGGGAAUCUUGCGCAAUGGGCGAAAGCCUGACGCAGCCAUGCCGCGUGAAUGAUGAAGGUCUUAGGAUUGUAAAAUUCUUUUAGCAGGGACGAUAAUGACGGUACCUGCAGAAAAAGCCCCGGCUAACUUCGUGCCAGCCGCCGCAGUAAUAC
rnacentral:rRNA from 1 species